AGAGUUUGAUCCUGGCUCAGGACGAACGCUGGCGGCGUGCCUAAUACAUGCAAGUCGAGCGGACAGAUGGGAGCUUGCUCCCUGAUGUUAGCGGCGGACGGGUGAGUAACACGUGGGUAACCUGCCUGUAAGACUGGGAUAACUCCGGGAAACCGGGGCUAAUACCGGAUGGUUGUUUGAACCGCAUGGUUCAAACAUAAAAGGUGGCUUCGGCUACCACUUGCAGAUGGACCCGCGGCGCAUUAGCUAGUUGGUGAGGUAAUGGCUCACCAAGGCAACGAUGCGUAGCCGACCUGAGAGGGUGAUCGGCCACACUGGGACUGAGACACGGCCCAGACUCCUACGGGAGGCAGCAGUAGGGAAUCUUCCGCAAUGGACGAAAGUCUGACGGAGCAACGCCGCGUGAGUGAUGAAGGUUUUCGGAUCGUAAAGCUCUGUUGUUAGGGAAGAACAAGUGCCGUUCGAAUAGGGCGGUACCUUGACGGUACCUAACCAGAAAGCCACGGCUAACUACGUGCCAGCAGCCGCGGUAAUACGUAGGUGGCAAGCGUUGUCCGGAAUUAUUGGGCGUAAAGGGCUCGCAGGCGGUUUCUUAAGUCUGAUGUGAAAGCCCCCGGCUCAACCGGGGAGGGUCAUUGGAAACUGGGGAACUUGAGUGCAGAAGAGGAGAGUGGAAUUCCACGUGUAGCGGUGAAAUGCGUAGAGAUGUGGAGGAACACCAGUGGCGAAGGCGACUCUCUGGUCUGUAACUGACGCUGAGGAGCGAAAGCGUGGGGAGCGAACAGGAUUAGAUACCCUGGUAGUCCACGCCGUAAACGAUGAGUGCUAAGUGUUAGGGGGUUUCCGCCCCUUAGUGCUGCAGCUAACGCAUUAAGCACUCCGCCUGGGGAGUACGGUCGCAAGACUGAAACUCAAAGGAAUUGACGGGGGCCCGCACAAGCGGUGGAGCAUAUGGUUUAAUUCGAAGCAACGCGAAGAACCUUACCAGGUCUUGACAUCCUCUGACAAUCCUAGAGAUAGGACGUCCCCUUCGGGGGCAGAGUGACAGGUGGUGCAUGGUUGUCGUCAGCUCGUGUCGUGAAAUGUUGGGUUAAGUCCCGCAACGAGCGCAACCCUUGAUCUUAGUUGCCAGCAUUCAGUUGGGCACUCUAAGGUGACUGCCGGUGACAAACCGGAGGAAGGUGGGGAUGACGUCAAAUCAUCAUGCCCCUUAUGACCUGGGCUACACACGUGCUACAAUGGACAGAACAAAGGGCAGCGAAACCGCGAGGUUAAGCCAAUCCCACAAAUCUGUUCUCAGUUCGGAUCGCAGUCUGCAACUCGACUGCGUGAAGCUGGAAUCGCUAGUAAUCGCGGAUCAGCAUGCCGCGGUGAAUACGUUCCCGGGCCUUGUACACAUCGCCCGUCACACCACGAGAGUUUGUAACACCCGAAGUCGGUGAGGUAACCUUUUAGGAGCCAGCCGCCGAAGGUGGAACAGAUGAUUGGGGUGAAGUCGAAACAAGGUAGCCGUAUCGGAAGGUGCGGCUG
rnacentral:rRNA from 1 species